rnacentral:rRNA from 1 species
GACGAACCGAGCGAACGUUGUUCGGAAUCACUGGGCUUAAAGCGCACGUAGGCGGCUUGUUAAGUCAGGGGUGAAAUCCUGGAGCUCAACUCCAGAACUGCCUUUGAUACUGGCGAGCUUGAGUUCGGGAGAGGUGAGUGGAACUGCGAGUGUAGAGGUGAAAUUCGUAGAUAUUCGCAAGAACACCAGUGGCGAAGGCGGCUCACUGGCCCGAUACUGACGCUGAGGUGCGAAAGCGUGGGGAGCAAACAGG